AUUGAACGCUGGCGGCAUGCCUUACACAUGCAAGUCGAACGGUAACAGGUCUUCGGAUGCUGACGAGUGGCGAACGGGUGAGUAAUACAUCGGAACGUGCCUAGUAGUGGGGGAUAACUACUCGAAAGAGUGGCUAAUACCGCAUGAGAUCUACGGAUGAAAGCAGGGGAUCGCAAGACCUUGUGCUACUAGAGCGGCCGAUGGCAGAUUAGGUAGUUGGUGGGAUAAAAGCUUACCAAGCCGACGAUCUGUAGCUGGUCUGAGAGGACGAUCAGCCACACUGGGACUGAGACACGGCCCAGACUCCUACGGGAGGCAGCAGUGGGGAACUUUGGACAAUGGGCGAAAGCCUGAUCCAGCAAUGCCGCGUGCAGGAUGAAGGCCUUCGGGUUGCAAACUGCUUUUGUACGGAACGAAAAGCCCCGGGUUAAUACCCUGGGGUCAUGACGGUACCGUAAGAAUAAGCACCGGCUAACUACGUGCCAGCCGCCGCAGUAA
rnacentral:rRNA from 1 species